rnacentral:snRNA from 1 species
GUGCUUGAUUCUGCGGCACUUUCAUGAACAUUGGAAUGAUACAGAGUGGAUUAUUAUGGCCUUGGGCAAGGAUCACCCCCACAUCUGAGAGGUGUGCCAUGUUAAA